rnacentral:rRNA from 1 species
ACGUAGGGGGCAAGCGUUGUCCGGAUUCACUGGGUGUAAAGGGCGCGCAGGCGGGUUAGCAAGUCAGAGGUGAAAUCCUACAGCUUAACUGUAGAACUGCCUUUGAUACUGUUAAUCUUGAGUUCGGAAGAGAGAGACGGAAUUCCAGGUGUAGUGGUGAAAUACGUAGAUAUCUGGAAGAACACCAGUUGCGAAGGCGGUCUCUUGGUCCGAUACUGACGCUCAGGCGCGAAAGCGUGGGUAGCAAACAGGAUUAGAUACCCUGGUAGUCCACGCUGUAAACUAUGAAUACUAGGUGUUGGUCCCAUUGGGAUCAGUGCCGCAGCUAACGCAUUAAGUAUUCCACCUGGGGAGUACGAUCGCAAGGUUG